CGCCGUAAACAAACUCACCUCGCACGCGCGAAGGAAAAGAAAAAAUAUAUACAAGAGAGAAGUUUCGGAUUGACAUGGAGCCGCCGAGCCGCGCGGACGCGCCAUGGCGAAGCUCCCGUUCUGCGGACUUUUCGUGCAAACUGGUUGCAAAGUUUGGAACUGUGUUGGCGGCGCCCUUCGCGUGCGCAGCAGGGCGAUAUGUUUUCACCAGUGGACACGAAAGGUCUGUUGCGAGGCCAUUGCAAUGCCCCGCAAUGUGAGUGCGACGGAUUUUGCCGUUCCGCGAACAACGUACCUGCUGCACCAUUCCAGGCCGCUUGGUGCUCAUACUGUGGGCACAGCCCAGUACAACAUGCUCGAAUUGGGACAACCCAGGACGUGUAUUUCUCAGCACCCAGUCAACUGCCAGAAGUGACUCAUACACAGGCCACCAGGUCAACCCAGGACAUGGGUUUCUCAGCACCCAGUCAGAAGUAACUCAACCACAGGCCACCAGUGGCACUCAGCUGUACCACUGCACUGCUGCUGAAAUUGCCAGCACCAGCGGCUUUGUAACAGCUGUUUCACAGCAUCUCGGCGACAAUGCCUACGAAAUUAUUGGCCCUGAUGACGAGAGCCCUCAAGGGGCAAACGACAUCUCUGUUGAAGAAGUGAGCCCGAUACCACCUUAAGUUACCAUGACAGAUGACACGGCAGCAAUAGAUACAGAGACUGCCGUGUCUACUGCAGCUGCAACAGUGUACGAGGCAAGCAGCAGCACGUCAGCAUCAGCAGUAGUGUCAGAAGGAACCGAACCAGGCCUGGUAGGGCAACAUGUGUGCUACCACUGUGACUUUUUUGUAGUGCAUACACCUCAUCUGCUCAACAUACGGAAGCUUUUCACCACGACUGCGAGCCAGUGUUCUUGUGCAGCGAAAGCAAGACUAUGUUUGGUGUUAUAACACAGUAUAAGCAUCACUUUAAAAUAUUCAAACCUAUUACAGUUGCCUCCCCGGCCAGCCCACAUAGCGACAACAAUGUGGAACGUAUGGUGGGACACACCUCUCCCCCAUUAGAAGAUAGUAGAGAGACUGUCAGUGUGGUUGCUAGAUUAACUGGUCAUUGUAGCCGACUAGAAGGACAACACAGGUGUCAUAAGGUUGUUGUUGAUGUUGUUGGUGAAGAGGUAAAAAAGAUGUUUGAUGCAGCUGAAGCAUUGAUAUUGAGCAAAUGAAAAGUGACCGCCUGAGAAAGCUACACUAUCGAAAUUUGGGUAUCUAUAUGCCGCCAACUCUGGUAAAGCUCACAGGGAAUGUAAAGACUUAUGUUGUAAAGUUA